AUUUGGGCCCAUGGUGACUCUCAAUCCUGCUACCCUGCUGCCCCUGCCGAAGGGUCCUGCCUCCCAUGACUGCCAACAGAUCCUUGAGGAAAUGCAUGGAACUCGUCAUGAUCUUAGCGAUCAGCCUCUCACAGAUGCCGACUACACAUGGUACACGGAUGGCAGCAGCUACCUGUUAAAUGGAGAACAGCGGGCAGGAGCCGCAAUAACCACUGAAAACCAGGUAGUUUGGGCCAGUGCCUUGCCUGGCAGCACCUCCGCUCAGCGAGCGGAACUCAUCACCCUGACACAGACCCUCCAACUGGCAGCAGGUAAGAAACUUAAUGUUUGUAUGGACAGCCAAUAUGCCUUUGCAGCAGCUCAUAUUCAUGGAGAAAUAUAUUGCAGAAGGGGACUACUAACAUCGGAGGGAAAAGAGAUCAAAAACAAGGCAGAAAUUUUGGUGCUGCUGAAAGUCCUAUUUUUGCCUACGAGACUGAGUAUUAUGCAUUGUCCAGGACACCAGAAAGGGAACAGUUCCGAAGCCAAAGGAAAUCACCUGGCCAAUGAAACAGCUAGGCAGGCUGCCCUUGGCCUCAGCUCUUGAUGGUCACCGUCCUCUCUGAGACGGGGAAGGCCCCCAAGUCCCCUACCUGGGACUAUGAUAAGGAAGACUUGAAUCUUAUUCAGAAAGUAGGAGUGGAUUAUGAUCCAUCCCGUGAUCGCUGGAUAUACCAAGGAAAGACUGUAAUACCUAUAAAGAUGACCAUAGAGUUAGUUGACUCUCUACACAAAUUGACUCAUUUGAGUGCCCAAAAAAUGAAGACACUGCUGGACCAGGUGGAGAUUUGACAAUAUUUCUUAAAUAGGGAUAGGGCCCUACAACAGGUGACAGACAACUGUACGGCCUGUGCUCAACCCUGGUAAGGCCCGAGUUGGUCAAGGAAUCCGCCUAAAAGGCCAUAGGCCGGGUGUCCAUUGGGAGAUAGAUUUUACUGAAAUUAAGCCUGGCUCAUUUGCAGGCCUUGCAGCUGGUGCAGCAGGAGAUCUGGAAACCACUCGUGGCAGCCUACCAAGAGGCAACCAGAACCCCAGCAGUCCCACACCCGUUCCAGAUCAAAGACGCUGUCUGGGUCCGAAGACACCAAACCCGGAGCCUUGAACCCUGCUGGAAGGGACCCUAUACCGUGCUCUUAACUACACCCACGGCGUUGAAAGUUGAUGGGAUUACUGCCUGGAUCCAUACAUCACACGUCAAGGCUGCUCAAUCGGGACACCUUCCUGAGGGACCGGAUCCGGAACCAUCAUGGAAACUCCAACGCUCUCAAAACCCUCUAAAGAUAAGGCUCGUCCGCUCUUGACCUGUACAUUGUUUUUCAUUGUACUACUCCCCCGGGCCUUAAGCGCCAAUGGCCCAAGAAGUUCCCUUACCCCCUAUCAGGUGACUUGGAAAAUUUACAAUCUGAUCACUGGAGAAACAGUAAAUACCACUAUGUUGAUAGGACCUAUCCAGACGACCUUUCCCACCCUAUAUAUAGACUUAUGUGACUUGGUGGGAGAAGACUGGGACCCGUCAGAACAGGAGCCCUUCCCUGGCUAUGGAUGCAAGCAUCCGGGAUGGAGGGCCAAAACCAGACAACACCCCUUCUACGUUUGCCCGGGGCAUGGCCACAGCCAGGGAGAACGAAUAAGAUGUGGGGGGCCCUCAGAAGGAUUCUGUGCUAACUGGGGUUGCGAAACAACAGGGACAACCUAUUGGAAGCCUUCCUCCUCCUGGGAUUUAAUUACAGUGAAACGGGGAAACACCCCAGGAUAUGAGGGGAUAGGACCCUGGACCUGUGGGGGGAAGGACUGCGGACCAUGUUUUGACUCAACUAAAGGAGCAGCCCAGGGGGCCACAGUAGGGGGCAGAUGUAAUCCACUGAUGAUACAUUUCACAGAGGCUGGCAAAAAGGCCGAUUGGGCCAAUUUGAGGAGCUGGGGCCUCCGUUUAUACCGCACCGGCUGGGAUCCCAUAGCCCUAUUCGCUAUUUCUAGAGAAGUUAUGCCAGUCCAACAAGCCCAGUCAGUCGGGCCCAAUAUGAUAUUAGCUGACCAGAAGCCCCCUUCUCAACCGGUAGCUCCUCCCAAUUAACCAGCCACCCCCUUUAAUGCCUCUGUUGCUCCAGCAGGAACUCCCAAUCCUGCUACCACCCCAACCACAUCCGGAGGCCUGACCAUGGUCCGUGGAACCAGGGAUAGACUUCUAAACCUAAUCAGAGGGGCAUAUCAGGCCCUAAAUCACUCAGACCCAGAUAAGGCCAAAGAAUGCUGACUGUGCCUAAAUCCCAGUCCAAUAUAUUAUGAGGGCAUAGCCCUCAUAGGAAAUUUUUCCAAUCACUCUAGCUCUCCUCCCAGCGCAUGCCUGGGAAUGGGGCACCAGUUAAGUCUAACUCAAGUGACUGGAGCAGACACUUGCAUUGGACACCCCCCUUCUACCCUAGGCAUUUACAACAAGACCAUAAGCAUUUCAACUGGCAAUUAUUACUUGGUGCCCCCAGAUGGAACCUAUUGGGCAUGUAGUACUGGAUUAACUCCUUGCGUGUCAGCCGCUGUUUUGAAUUUGACCCAAGAUUAUUGCGUGUUAGUCCAGCUAUAGCCAUGCAUACAUUAUCAUUCUGAUGAGACGGUGUUACAAUAUUAUGAAGAUUCCCUUCGGAAAUUCAAGAGGGAACCACUGUCCCUUACUCUGGCCAUGUUAUUAGGGAUAGGAGGGGUAACUGCGGGCAUUGCUACCGGCACCACAGCGCUAGUACGCACAGACUCAGGGAAUUUCCAUUGCAGCUAUAGUCCAAACCAGGUCAAGCUGUUCCCAAGCCAGCAUAAUCACCCUGAGGCCAGAUGGGCCCCUACUGAUGAGAAAAACAGGAUAUCUGUGGUCAGGCACCUGGAGGCCAACUCUUGGCCAACAGGAAGAUAGAAGGGAACAGAAAGCCCAGAGGGUGCUAAAAUGAGCCUUAUCUGCUUUCCAUGUACCCUGUCCCUGACCUGGCUCCAUCGCCUUAUUUGAAAUGACCAAUGAGAACCCUGUAACCAUGCAUCUGCUUCUGUAAGCCCGCAUCUUGCUGCCCCAACCCUAUAUAAUCAGCCCCGAACCUAGCCUGGUGCGCUCAGUCACCCGAACUGCCAGGCACCUGUGCGAAUAAUAAAGUGCCUCUU